UCUUUUGCAUUUACAUUCUUGCAUGAAAAGUUAUGCUUUGCCAAACCAAACAACAGACAGGUGUCUCUAACGCAUACCACUGGCUCAAAGAAAGACUGAAAGAAGACUUUCAACUGAAUAUUCAGGAUAUGAUCCCUCUGGUGUUGAAAGGUCAACAGUCUUGUGAAUUAUGAUUAGCAACAUAUCCCAGCCCGAUAAUGAAACAUUGCUGAUGCUUGAGAACCCAACCAUCGCUGUGGCCCUCCCUAUUGUGUACUCACUGGUGGCCCUCAUCAGCAUCCCUGGGAAUCUCUUUUCCCUCUGGGUGCUAUGUCAAACCAAACCCAAAUCACCUUCUGUCAUUUUCAUGAUCAACCUUUGCAUCACCGACCUCAUGUUGGCUGUGGCGCUCCCUUUUCAGAUCUUCUAUCACCUAAACAACAAUGACUGGCUCUUUGGGAAGUUCCUCUGUAACCUGGUGACAGUCGUCUUCUACACCAACAUGUACUCUUCCAUACUGACCAUGACCUGCAUCAGUGUAGAGCGGUUCCUGGGGGUUGUAUACCCCUUGACCUCUACCAGGUGGAGAAGGAAGAGAUAUGCAGUUCUGGCUUGUGUAGGCAUAUGGCUCCUUUUAUUACUUGCCCUUUCCCCCUUGGCUAUCACAGACCUGACCUAUGAAGUAAAAGCCCUGGGAAUCAUCACCUGCUUUGACGUCCUCAAGUGGAACAUGCUGCCCAGCCUUGCAAUGUGGGCCAUCUUCCUCUUCACCUUGUUUAUUUUUCUCUUCCUUAUUCCCUUCAUUGUGACUGUGGCCUGCUACACCGCCACCAUCCUUGAGUUGAUCCGGACUUCCGGAAGGUAUGGGAAUGGGCAGAAAACUCGGUCCAUCUGUCUCGCCGGCAUUGUCCUCCUUGCCUUUGUCACUUGUUUUGCUCCUAACAACUUCAUACUCCUAGUGCACAUGGUCAGUCGCCUAUAUUUCAACAAGAGCUACUACCACAUCUAUAAGCUUACCCUCUGUCUCAGCUGCCUCAACAACUGCUUGGAUCCUUUCAUUUACUAUUUUGCCUCCAAAGAGUUUCAUCAGAAAUUAAGGAGGUUCCUAGGUAAAAAUUCACUCUUCAGUGAUAGCUCAGAGGCCAGAAGGGAAAGUUUAUUCUCUGCCAGGACACUGUCAGGCCGGUCGAUGUCAAGUGGACAGGGGGAAGGGUCUGCUGGAGGCAGCCGGGCCUGUUUGGAAAGGCAGGAGAGCUUGUUUUAAUGGUGGUAUGUGAGCCAGAAGGCAAAGUUGAUGCCCGUGAGAGGUGAAACAAACCAGGGGGAAACAUGGAAGGUUCAAAAGGUCAGAGAACCAAAGGUCCAGAGACAGUGCUAAUGAGGCCCUGAAGGAACCAACCCAAGCAGCAAAUUAAACCAACAACCACAAUUCCAUUUUCUGGAGCAACUUUGUCCAUCCAUUUGGAAGUGAAUUUGAUGGGGCAAAUGUGUUUGGCUACUACUCUAUGCUUGAGACUACUCUCCCUAGGGAACAAAGCAAAAUAGCAAGGAUCUAUCCCCUGGUGUUGGGGAGAAUGGUUUGUAUGUCUGUUCUUGCUACAUAUUAUCAGUAAAUAUCCCUUUGCAAAAGCUAAUUGAUGUUUAGUGGUUUAAUGAAACCUAGAUGCUAAUCACUGCAGGAUAUGGGUGCUAUGAGACUAGUGAUUGACGUUGACACUGGAAUGGAGACUUGAUACAGGAUAAUUCCUUAGACUUGUCCCUAGAACCUUAAGGGCGGUAGUAGCUGGCCUCAAGUUCAGGGACAAUGCAAGCAAAGUUGGGAGAAGGAUCUCCAGAACUUGUGAAGGGUACAUAUAUGAGAUAAUCAAGUCCAUUGUUUAUACACAAACAAAACGUACUCAAAUUUGGGGUAAUAGUUUUUUAUUCAUCUGUCCCAGGGUCAUACAACAUUACAAAAUGGAACACUAAAUAGAGAAAUCCUACUGAGGAUCUGACUAUUCAACAUUUUCCCAAGAGUUUCUUAGUAUUUCUGCUCUGUUUUUGUUCACUUAAUUUUGCAUCUGCUGUCCUGCCUGGUUUCAACCCCGUGGAAUGUAAUAUAUCCAUGCCAGGUACAUGCUGGUGUUACACUUUCAGUCUCCUUUUGUAUGUUAUCUCCCUCUUUAGAUUAUAAGCUCCUUGAAGUCGAGAACUGUCAUUCUUUUUAAUUGUAUCCCCAGCACUUCACACAGUACCAGGCAUAUAGUAUUGCUUAAUAAAUGCUUAUUGGAUAUUGAUUUUUUUGCUAGUGAAUAUUUCAUCCCUAGCAAGAUUGGGCUAAUUCAGUUCAAUUCAACAAGCAUUUUAAAGUACUUAUUAAGUGAUAGGUAUUGUGAAUACAAAGACAGAAAUGAAACAGUCCCUGCCCUCAAGGAGUUUAUUUCAACUGCAUAAAUAAAGAACAUGUGGAUAGAGUGUAAUAAGAAUACUACUACUGUAAGUAGUAUUGAUGGGGAUUAAUUGAAUCAGUCACCCCACUCCACCCCACUUAAAGUAACUACCUUAACCAAGUAAGAAAAUCUUUAUUACAGAAAGACACCCCUUAUCACUCUUCCUCCCCAUCAAGAGCAUUAUAAAAAGUGUGAGCAGCCCUUGAAAGCCAUUAGAUGAAAUGACACGAUGCCCCACAGGUGAUAUUACCUAAAGACGCUUGUUUAUCUCCUGUGGGUCUUUUAUCAAGUCAAUUUGAAACCAAGGAUUUGAGUAUCUGGCAACUUAGAGGAGAAAAGCAGUUCCAGCCAUUCCUCUGAGAGGUAUCAAUUUGUGAGCUUUUAGGGGUAGUGAUGAGUAGAGCUUCUGUCUCUUCCCUUCCCCUUGACCAGAUGAUGACUUUGUGAACCUCAGAGGAUUCGAGGAUUUGAACUUCUCAUUGGCAUCCCUAGGAAAGACGGUGACUGGUUGGCAAUGUCUGCAUCAGGUGCCAAGGACCAAUUAUUAGACAGCCUGAGGAAAGGCAUCUUAAGGACUCGACAAGGACCUCAGCAGAAGGCAAUACCACACUUAAGGAACUUUUGAGGGCCCACAAAAGGGAGAAAGGAAUUCCAGCAAAGGGACUUUCCAGGAACACUUGCUUUAUUGGUAUGCUGUCUCCCCAUUCAACUGGAAGUUCCUUCAGAGUAAGCUGUUUUGUAUCCUUUGCAUCCCAAGUCUAGCACAGUACCUAGAAUAGUAGGUGCUUAAUAAACAUUGAUUGAUUGAUUGAUUGUUACACUAAGUUCCCCUCCACCCUACCCCACCAUGAAAAAAAAAAGUCUUGUAGGAAAGAAAAGGACAAUGAAUUAAUUUAAUAAUUGAGAUGUUUUGGUUUGUGUCUUUAUUUUGUUUGUUUUGUUUUUGUUUUUGUUUUGCAUAAUCUCAAUUCACUUUUCAGCCAGUUGUUUUCUUGUUAUGUAGAAACAGUUUAUGGAUGAUACUUCCUUAAAUAUGCUGACAUGUACUAAGAACACUAACUUUGAAAGAAAUCAUUUCCAUCCUAGAAAUACAUUGUGUGUGUGUGUGUGUGUGUGCGCGCGCAAGUGCAUGUACAUGAGUCUGUGUGUGUUUGUGUAUAUGUGUGUAUUUUUUGAGCUGCUGAAUGUGUACACAGAAGCAUGGAAUGAAAUGUUGGCCCAACUACAAAGGUAGUUCAGGAUAGAAGUCUGAGCAAAGGUCAGGAAAUGACUGCUCUAAUAGGAUUGUCAGGUGACUAAUCACAAACUCCCAUCUCAGAAGGCUUGCUUCAUCCUAUGUAUAGCUUGUACUGCUCUGAUUGAACAUUUACUUUCUUUGAAGCAGAAAUUCACUGUCAUGUUUUUCCAACAGAUUCACAGGUAUUGAUCCUAAGAGAAAUGAUUCAGAUUUGUAGUUUAAAAUAUGUGAUUCUUAGACCUUCAAGUCUCUCAUGUGGAGGCUUUUUGGUAUUUUAUAUAAUACGCAAAGUCUGACUUAAUGAUAAUUAUCAUUUUAUUACUAUUUAAAGUAUUUUGAAGGAUUUGAAGUAUUUGAAGUAAUUUAAAAUAUAUUUGAAGUAUUACUAUUUAAAGUAUUUUGAGAGAAAAUAAACAUAAGUGUGGGGGAAAAAGGAGAGCUAGUGCAGUGGUGCAGUGGACAGUGGACAGAGCACUGGCUCUGGAAUCAGGAGGGACCUGAGUUCAAAUCCAGCCUCAGACA